rnacentral:rRNA from 1 species
CCUACGGGAGGCAGCAGUAGGGAAUCUUCCACAAUGGGCGCAAGCCUGAUGGAGCAACACCGCGUGAGUGAAGAAGGGUUUCGGCUCGUAAAGCUCUGUUGUUAGAGAAGAACGUGCGUGAGAGCAACUGUUCACGCAGUGACGGUAUCUAACCAGAAAGUCACGGCUAACUACGUGCCAGCAGCCGCGGUAAUACGUAGGUGGCAAGCGUUAUCCGGAUUUAUUGGGCGUAAAGCGAGCGCAGGCGGUUUGAUAAGUCUGAUGUGAAAGCCUUUGGCUUAACCAAAGAAGUGCAUCGGAAACUGUCAGACUUGAGUGCAGAAGAGGACAGUGGAACUCCAUGUGUAGCGGUGGAAUGCGUAGAUAUAUGGAAGAACACCAGUGGCGAAGGCGGCUGUCUGGUCUGCAACUGACGCUGAGGCUCGAAAGCAUGGGUAGCGAACAGGAUUAGAUACCCUAGUAGUC